rnacentral:rRNA from 1 species
AGCGAACGCUGGCGGCAGGCUUAACACAUGCAAGUCGAGCGGACCUUUCGGGGUCAGCGGCGGACGGGUGAGUAACGCGGGGGAACGUGCCUUCCGGUUCGGAAUAACCCUGGGAAACUAGGGCUAAUACCGGAUACGCCCUUAUGGGGGAAGGUUUACUGCCGGAAGAUCGGCCCGCGUCUGAUUGGCUAGGGGGUGGGGUAACGGCCUACCAAGGCGACGAUCAGUAGCUGGUUUGAGAGGAUGAUCAGCCACACUGGGACUGAGACACGGCCCAGACUCCUACGGGAGGCAGCAGUGGGGAAUAUUGGACAAUGGGCGCAAGCCUGAUCCAGCCAUGCCGCGUGAGUGAUGAAGGCCUUAGGGUUGUAAAGCUCUUUUAUCCGGGACGAUAAUGACGGUACCGGAGGAAUAAGCCCCGGCUAACUUCGUG